rnacentral:snoRNA from 1 species
UGGACCAAUGAUGAUAGUUUUCAUGAAACAAGGAUUAUGAUCAACCUAAUUCUGUACACUUGAGGGCCAAA